rnacentral:rRNA from 1 species
CCUACGGGUGGCAGCAGUGGGGAAUAUUGCACAAUGGGGGAAACCCUGAUGCAGCCACGCCGCGUGAGUGAUGAAGUCAUUCGUUAUGUAAAGCCCUAUUAUCAGGGACGAAAAUGACGGUUCCUGAGGAAUAAGCCCCGGCUAACUACGUGACAGCAGCCGCGGUAAUCCGGAGGGGUCAAGCGUUAUCCGGAUUUACUGGGCUGAACGGGAGCGUAGGCGGGAGUGCAAUUCUGGAGUGAAAGGCGGGGGCUUAACCCCCGGACUGCUCUUGAAACUGUACGGCUUGAGUGGAGGAGAGGUAAGUGGAAUGCGUGGUGUAGCGGUGAAAUGCGUAGAGAUUAGGAGGAACACCGAUUGCGAAGGCGGCAUACUGGAGCGUAACUGACGUUGAGGCUCGAAAGCGUGGGGAGCAAACAGGAUUAGAUACCCUAGUAGUC